UAAUACGAAGGGUGCAAGCGUUACUCGGAAUUACUGGGCGUAAAGCGUGCGUAGGCGGUUUGUUAAGUCUGUCGUGAAAGCCCCGGGCUCAACCUGGGAAUGGCGAUGGAUACUGGCAAGCUAGAGUGUGUCAGAGGAUGGUGGAAUUCCCGGUGUAGCGGUGAAAUGCGUAGAGAUCGGGAGGAACACCAGUGGCGAAGGCGGCCAUCUGGGACAACACUGACGCUGAGGCACGAAAGCGUGGGGAGCAAACAGGAUUAGAUACCCUGGUAGUCCACGCCCUAAACGAUGCGAACUGGACGUUGGGCACACUUAGGUGCUCAGUGUCGAAGCUAACGCGUUAAGUUCGCCGCCUGGGGAGUACGGUCGCAAGACUGAAACUCAAAUGAAUUGACGG
rnacentral:rRNA from 1 species